AGAGAUCUUCAGAUAUCGCGAACACGUCAGCACGACUGUCUUUAUUGUAUUCCAAGCAUCGACGAACAAAAUUCUGAUUGCGGUUUGCGACAUAUUGUGGCCAAAUGGCUGAAGAAAUAGAAACAUCACUAAAGCAAAGAUUAAAAGAGUAUUUUGCUACUACUAUAAAUGGAACAUGACACAUACAAAUAUAUUGAUCGAUUUAUCAAGUAAAUUAUUGAGGGAAAAGCGACUUGAAAGAUUAUAUUGCAUUCAUUUCUCUUUCAAAAUAAAUUACUAGGAAUUCUCAAGUCAUGCAACUUCAAUAAAAUGCAUACACUUCUGACAAAUAUUCUGAAACAAAGGCAAUGUAUGUAUUGAAAAAUAUUUGGAUAGUUACUACAUAAAAGAUCUAUCUUUUCAUUCA